rnacentral:rRNA from 1 species
UACGGAGGGUGCGAGCGUUGUCCGGAAUCACUGGGCGUAAAGGGCGCGUAGGCGGCGCGGGAAGUCCGUGGUGAAAGCCCGAGGCUCAACUUCGGGUCGGCCAUGGAUACUCCUGGGCUCGAGCACUGUAGAGGCAGGUGGAAUUCCGGGUGUAGCGGUGGAAUGCGUAGAGAUCCGGAAGAACACCGGUGGCGAAGGCG